AGUUUAAUAGGGAAUGAAGUUUCCCGUUAAUUGCAACUGCUGAUGACUUCUACAAUUUU
rnacentral:ncRNA from 2 species